UUAUUCCUCCGCUCAGAUUCACUCCAUUCUCCCCAGAUAAUCCUUCCAAAAUAUAUUUUAACCAUUGAUCCAUUGAGUGUGACAUGGAAUAAACACUUACAAACGCAUCAUCAUUCAUAAUGAUUAUUAAGAAACUGCAAUACUCCAUCAGAGCUGACAUACUGAAUGCAGUAACCAGAGAAGGAAAAAGCCUAACAGUUGUAGAGAAAUGUUAACAUCCAGCCUUCAGCCAGAAGAAAGGCCACAUGUAUACCAGCUGUGACAGCAUGUUUCCUCUAGGUGGCCUUUACCAGCUUGCUUGUCUCCAAAUACCACACAAGUGUAAUCAAAGUGCUGUCGUAAGUCAAGGGUUACAAAGUUCUCCUUUGAUUAACUAUUUUGGAGGAGAACUCGGUGAUAUAACAAAAGAGUGGAAUUUGUGCAGAGGAGGAAGAGAGGAGCAAACAGCAGCACUUUUUGGCCGCUUGAAAGACUUGCUGUAGGAAUCCUCUGGGGCUCAUUUGCCAUCUGGGAUGUGUUUCACUUCAAUGAAAUUUACCUCAUGAGACCUAACAGACUAUGACGUUUCCUUGACUUCUUCCUGGAUCCAAACUUUUCUCUUCUGGAAAGCAGACUGAAUAGCUGGCCUGUGAGCUGCUUAGUAUUUGUCUUUAUCAUCACAAAUGCAAUACCUGCAAAUAUCUCCUGUGAUAAUCUGUCUUGUUAUCUAGUGUCAGAUGCUACAUCGGGACCACUGACUUUUUUGGAGGAUUAAAGGCUUCCAGCGAAGCUGCUGUUGUAUUUUCACCUGUCAAGAAAGGUUAGAUAUUGUCAGCAUGUUGCAGUAGUACGGAGGAGAAAAUUCAGGUCUUCAUAACCUCUGAGGCUGAGCAUCCACUGCCUGACAAGAAGAUUCAUUACUCCAUAUGAUUGGAAGCAACUGCACCUGCAGGGCAGGUGCAACGGGAGCUAUGACUCCCAUAAAAUGAGCUUCUCCUUAGACCAAAGGAGCUGGUGGAAGGCAGGAUGAGCAAGCUCCCAGAUGGAGAAUGGAGGGUUCCUUGGCACUCCCCCUCUAUUUUCCCAGUGCCAGAGCCACCACAAUAUGUAAGUGCAAGAAGCUACAAGUAACCCCAGGGAUGUAUGAGAGGUUUCCCUCAGUGAUGGGGGAAACACAUGAUGAAAUUAAACAUGAUUCCUGUGUGAACACAGAGGCACCUCAAUAAGUGUAGAUCAUUACAAGGUAUAAGACAAAUAAAAACUUUUCCCAUUCUUAGAACAUGAAUGAAGUAUGUGUUGUGUUUAUACAUCUAAAGACAAGGAACAGGACCGCUCCAGAUCUACUUUAAUGUCCUACAAAUGGUAUUUCAAAGCAGGAUCUUUCACUGGAGUCUGAUGUUAACCAUCAUACUGCAGCUGAACAGAGAGAUUAAAAAUGGAGUAGACAGGGCAUUAGCUCUUUGAGAGUAGAGAAGACAGAGGAUAUUCCUCACUAUCCGUAGACAUUAUCUUCCAUAAAAUUUUGACAGCAGUUUCCUUCUAGAAAUAGGCUUCUCUUUAACUAUAUUGGAUUAAUACAGUUUCACUGCUAUUAAUAUUACUAUUACUUUCUUUGGAUAAAUGCUGUCUGCACCAGAAAGGAUGGGGGAAAGACAUUUCAGAAUGAAUUGUCCAAUCCAUUACUAAUUUCUCCCUAAAAUAGCCAAAUUUUGCAAAUCAUCUCAGCACCAAUGCAUCAGAAUAUUCUGAGGGAAUGAAAGAAUGAUGAAAAGGGAAAAUAACCUUAAAUAAGUAUUCACAUGUAAAAUGACUAGAAAAGCAAGUUCAACUAUAAUUAGGUUUUCUAAAUCUUCCUUGAUAUUCUUGAUGAACUAUUUAUAGUCUAUAUGUAAUCUGUAGAAGACAAAUUUAAAUGAGGCAAUUUUAGUGUCAAGUUAUAUUAAACCUCAGAAAACGCCUUACAGAUGAGCAUAAAAAUAAUGUACUGUUUAUUAUCAAAACCCUGACUCAACUCACCCUCCCCCAGACUCAAAAAACUGGCAAGUCAUCUGAUUGCAAUUCCUCCUUCCCAGGGAGGAAAUACUGGGAAUUAGCAGACUUCUUAGUCCAGCAAGGAAAAGUGUAACAGGCAAGGCGAAAUGCCUGUUUCGAAUUGCAAGAUGGCAUGCGUUUUAAGACCGAGAUUAGUCACUGGAACAAGCUGCUAAUAGAAGCAGCAAAUUCUUCAUUUCUUUUGGCACAAUAACUGGUGCUCUGAAAAUAAGCAUUAGCCAAACUCCGCUGAUGAAGCCUGAUAAAGGAACCACUGUAUGAAUGCUAACAGCUUGUGAUGUGCUGGAGGUUAGACUAGAUGCUCUAGUGAUAUCAUCCAUCCUUAAAUGCUCUAAGUAAACACAGUAUUGUAUCUGUCUCCAACAUCAUGAUCAGAAUUCAGCAAAUCCACCUUUCUUCUUCUCCAUUUUAUGUUUUUCUUCAGCAAACAGGGAGACAAUUACCGUGUGCCUCUCAAUGAUUGCUUUGCUAUUUUCUAUGCUCCUAAGCCUUGAUAAGAAACAGGAUUCAUGACAUUGAAUAGCUUGACCCCUUGGCACUAAUAUGGCAUUAAUACAACUGAGAGCUGGGGCCAUUGUAUCUAUCACAGUAAAGUCCACAAAAAUGACAGACACUCAUUGUGUCAUCUCAGCCUCAGGAUUCUGGUAUAAAGUACAAGAAUUUUAGGCUCUGUUUGGGAGCCUUUUGAUCUUGUUUCAGUUCUACCAACAAAUAAACACUAAAGAUGUUUAAGUAA